GACGAACGCUGGCGGCGUGCUUAACACAUGCAAGUCGAACGGAAAGGCCCUGCUUUUGUGGGGUGCUCGAGUGGCGAACGGAUGAGUAACACGUGUGUAACCUGCCCUUGACUUUGGGAUAACUUCAGGAAACUGGGGCUAAUACCGGAUAGGAUCUCCUGCUGCAUGGUGGGGGUUGGAAAGUUUCGGCGGUUGGGGAUGGACUCGCGGCUUAUCAGCUUGUUGGUGGGGUAGUGGCUUACCAAGGCUUUGACGGGUAGCCGGCCUGAGAGGGUGACCGGCCACAUUGGGACUGAGAUACGGCCCAGACUGCUACGGGAGGCAGCAGUGGGGAAUAUUGCACAAUGGGCGGAAGCCUGAUGCAGCAACGCCGCGUGCGGGAUGACGGCCUUCGGGUUGUAAACCGCUUUCGCCUGUGACGAAGCGUGAGUGACGGUAAUGGGUAAAGAAGCACCGGCUAACUACGUG
rnacentral:rRNA from 1 species